CUACGGGGCAGAGGGCCAAGAGGCAUCAGGGGGCGGGUACUUCCGGUAGAGGUAGUCCAAUCGCAGAGCCAGAGACCUAGUGCCCUAUAAAAACCCGAAGAGGCGGGCUUCCCGUUCUUUCUCUGGCUUGCGCGCUUUCUUGUCGGAGGUGAGACUCGUGAAGUACUCCUGUGACUCUCAGCUUGGUUGGGCACUGCUAGCUCCGAGUUCCAGGCAGGGACCUGGCCAGCCCUGCCUGCUGGCCUCACCCUUCCUCUCCCACCCUGCUGUAGCACCUGGGAACGGCAACCGAAAGGGCUCAUCCUCCGGCACGUGGAGCUUUCCUGCGGCGCCGCCGGACGAUCGAGGUGUGCCCCAUGCUGUGGAUGAACUGAACCACCAAAAAGAUUCCACAAUGAUAGCAAGCUACAACAAUUUCUUCAUGAAUUUCUGUUUGUGUUGUGGGUAAGUUAAAAAUUUAGAGCUUGUGGGGGGGAAACUUUAAGAUAAAAUCCAUUAUGUUCACAAUAAAAAAGGCACUUUGGUUGUGGAUGGUGGGGGGAGGGGGUCUAACCAGUAGCGGACAACAGCUGAAUAGCCAUUCACUGUAUAAAAUUCUCAAACCUUUAUAUCUAAAAAUGAAAAACAUGGCAUAGCUACAUGCUGAGGCAGCUUUCUAUUUCCUGGUGUUUAUGCCUCAUCCCUGUUCCCCAUAUUCCUCCUCCUCACCUCCCCCUUCCCCAUUGUUCCAGGUCUUUAAGUGCCAAGGAGAUGGAAGUAUAGAGCUAGAACACAGCAUCACCUGGUGCUCAGGGGCUUUCUCAGUGUCCAUAGCUUCUCCUGGCUCCAGGGUACAUCCUUCCUUUGGAUCACCUCUACCAUGGCAGCUUUGCUGUGGUUGGGGAAGGAGGGAGACAACAUAGUGUAGAGAUGACCCAUUUCCCAGUACCAUUCAGUGAUUUUUGUAUGUGUAUCCCUACGCCAGAACAUAUUUUGACAAUACAUAUAGAUGAGCUUGCAAAAAAAGCUACUCCAUAGUAGCUGUAGGGAGCACCUGCCAUAAAAGAGGUACUUGUCAGAGGUUUACUCCUGACAAAAGCUGAAAAUGACCAGGAAAAAUAGAUUGCUGUCUCUGGCGUCCAGUGUGAACCUGCCUCAACAUAUGAAAAAGAAAGGUGCCAAGGGGUGGAAUUGCAGCCUUUGCAGGAGUGAUGCCAUAAAAUGGAGCCUAUCACUCGUAAAGUCCUUCCAAGGUAAGUAAAUUCAAGGCAGCCAUUAGCAGAGCUGAAGAUGGUUCUUUUCUGGACUGUUUCUCUAAUCUCUCCCCAACAAUCUGUUGCCCUAGGUCUUAGUGUAAAUUGUCCAAACUAAUUUUUUAGAGCAAAGCUCCUUUUGCUAGAUCUGAACCUCAGGAAUGCAGCCUAACUUGGCUACCAAAUGUCUCAGGACAUGUACAGGAAAAGCCACUGAUGCCAGACCUAGGUUCCCAGGCCUAUUAUGAGAUUGCUGUCUGUUUUCCUUCCUUCCUGAUGUUACAUUUGGAGCAGAGAGUAUGAAGGCAUUAUCACUCAUACCUGCCCAAUCACCACUUCCAAUUAUGUUGUGCCUAGUGCAGAUAUCUGAGCAUGCUUGAGUUGUCAGGGAGCUGGUGUCUGUGCACAAGUUUAGACAAAUAGCACCCUUAGUUUGUAUUGGCCCUUGAUUGGUGUUUCUUGUCAUUAUGUCAUUAAUUGCAAUUGUCUAUUAAAGUUC